ACAGUAUAUAAGCACUGAUCUUACAGCUGUUCAGCACCUUCUCACUGGAAGGCUAAAGCUACGUGUUGGUGCUGAAAAGAAGUCUAUUCUUCAAAUAUUCUGCAUAUUCUCCAGAAGUGAUAUUAAACAUCGCCAUGAAGCUGCUGAUUGUGUUUGCACUUCUUUGUGUAAUGAUCCCUCUGAUCAUUACUGCUGAGAAGAGAAGCUUGUGUGGCAGAUGUUGGUCUGUCUGCUUGGGUGGACCUCAGUCUGGUGGUACCAACAACAUGGGCGGAGGUCAGACUGGUGGUACCUGGCACUGGGACAAACAUCAGCUUAAUGGUACCAACAACAUGGGCGGAGGUCAGAGUGGUGGUACCUGGCACUGGGACAAACAUCAGUUUACUGGUACCAACAACAUGGGCGGAGGUCAGAGUGGUGGUACCUGGCACUGGGACAAACAUCAGUUUAAUGGUACCAACAACAUGGGCAAAGGUCAGACUGGUGGUAACUGGACCUGGGGCAGAUAGGGUUUUCUGAAGACGACAUGGGAAUCAGGUGUAUGAAUGAUAUAUGCCGCACUAUUGACACCACUUUUAUCUGGGUCUGAAAAAGAAGAUGAUUCCUGGUCUUUCAUGGAAAGCAUGGUUCAUCGCACCAAGAAGCAAAUAAUUUCAUCCAACUCCCUGAACUAUCUUUUCAUCCUUUUACAUCUUUAAUUUCUUUCCUUUUGCGUCAUCAUCAUUAAACUCUUAAGCAUUAAAUCAAAA